rnacentral:tRNA from 1 species
UGCCAGAUCGUCUAAUCGGCAGGACGCCCGGCUCUGAACCGGGUAGGUGCACGUUCGAAUCGUGCUCUGGCAG